rnacentral:tRNA from 1 species
GGCGGUGUAGCUCAGCCGGCUAGAGCGUCCGGUUCAUACCCGGGAGGUCGUGGGUUCGAUUCCCUCCGCCGCUA